CACUUGUGCAUUUGUACAGUAGUCCUUUAAUUUAAACAACACGUUUACCGUUUUGUGUAAAACUAUCCUUUCUGAGUACCUUUAUAUCUUAAAUCAAAAUAUUUAAGUAUGUAAAGUUAUCGAACCUUUGGUUGGCUUGGUGUGCUUUGUGCGGAUGGGGCUGAAGGAAAGGCUGCGUAAGUUACAGAGGCUGCAAUGCAAGAGGAGGCUGUUAUCAUUGUUGUUGCUAUCUUUUCGACAGACGUGGAUGGUAAGCUUGUGGAAGCUGUCACAAUAAUUGAUGAACAAGGAGAUGAUGCCAAGGCUUCCAUUGCUGCGCUUCAUCGGGUCGGCAUGAAAAAUCCAUUCUUCAGAUGUGAAACAGGAGGCUGCAGAAGUGAACACUUAGCGGCGACAAGUAUGCCACUGAAUUUACUGUGAAAAGAAGCUGCUUCGAUAUCACGGUUAAAGUUUCACGACGAUCUUUUAUCUUCGGGCUCUUUCUGCUCUUGAUGUGUACAGUUAGUAUCUUCCUAGUACUCAUUUUUUUAACUGAUGCUUUCAAUUUCUAAUUGUGACUAGACCUUUCGGAUGCAAUAUUUAGAUCUAUGCUGAAGUGAAACCAUCUGGAAUUGCGGAUUUCACAAGGCAGUUGCAAUCGAAGAACAAGUGCGUGGCAACGGUUAAGGGACGUCGUCAAUGAUGCUGCAGGGUCAGGUCAUACUCAGAUUGGCACGGCGAUGGCAGUGGAUUUGGAACAGCCAGUGAAGUGGCAUCCAUGGUUUUUGUAAGAGACAAGUCCAAACGGAUUUUUGCGGAACCCCUGCUCGCUGCUGAUGCUCUCCUGCCUUCAACGAAUACUAUGCUCACUCCAUCGAUUGCAGGUGCCCUUGCGGGAACAAGCUCUUUGACUGUAUUGACGAAUUCAUUGCCACACCAGCUGGGGUUUUCACAACUUUGUUCUAAUGUCACAGAAAGUGAAGUUAAAAUGUGUAAAACUCACCACGGAAGGCAAAGUUCAGACUGACCAUCACUUUCUUCAAAUUCAACGCUAUUAAAAGUUUGCACAUGUACAGCAUGUGUCAUGAAGGUAACAUAUAUGCUAUUCUAGAAAGUUGAAAAAAGAAAUGGAGUUACUUAUUGCAAUCGGACUGUGCGCUACAGUUUCUAAAGCAUGGUCCUGCGCUGCUGCGGCCUGAUGGAAUCCAAUUCACUCAUCGCCUUAAAUUCA